GAUGAACGCUGGCGGCGUGCUUAACACAUGCAAGUCGAACGGAAAGGCCUCAGCUUGCUGGGGUACUCGAGUGGCGAACGGGUGAGUAACACGUGGGUGAUCUGCCCUGCACUUUGGGAUAAGCUUGGGAAACUGGGUCUAAUACCGAAUAUGACCACUUCUUGGAUGUUGUGGUGGAAAGCUUUUGCGGUGUGGGAUGAGCCUGCGGCCUAUCAGCUUGUUGGUGGGGUAAUGGCCUACCAAGGCGGCGACGGGUAUCCGGCCUGAGAGGGUGUACGGACACAUUGGGACUGAGAUACGGCCCAGACUCCUACGGGAGGCAGCAGUGGGGAAUAUUGCACAAUGGGCGCAAGCCUGAUGCAGCGACGCUGCGUGGGGGAUGAAGGCCUACGGGUUGUAAACUCCUUUCGCUAUCGACGAAGCCACUUGUGGUGACGGUAGGUAGAUAAGAAGCACCGGCUAACUACGUGCCAGCAGCCGCCGUAA
rnacentral:rRNA from 1 species